AUUGAACGCUGGCGGAAUGCUUUACACAUGCAAGUCGAACGGCAGCACGGGGCAACCUGGUGGCGAGUGGCGAACGGGUGAGUAAUACAUCGGAACGUGCCCAAUCGUGGGGAUAACGUAGCGAAAGUUACGCUAAUACCGCAUACGAUCUACGGAUGAAAGCGGGGGAUCGCAAGACCUCGCGCGAAUGGAGCGGCCGAUGUCAGAUUAGGUAGUUGGUGGGGUAAAGGCUCACCAAGCCAACGAUCUGUAGCUGAUCUGAGAGGACGACCAGCCACACUGGAACUGAGACACGGUCCAGACUCCUACGGGAGGCAGCAGUGGGGAAUUUUGGACAAUGGGCGCAAGCCUGAUCCAGCCAUUCCGCGUGCAGGAUGAAGGCC
rnacentral:rRNA from 1 species